AUACGGAGGUGGCUAGCGUUGUUCGGAAUUACUGGGCGUAAAGCGCGCGUAGGCGGAUUGAUCAGUCAGGGGUGAAAUCCCGAGGCUUAACCUCGGAACUGCCUUUGAUACUGUCAAUCUUGAGUUCGAGAGAGGUGAGUGGAAUUCCUAGUGUAGAGGUGAAAUUCGUAGAUAUUAGGAAGAACACCAGUGGCGAAGGCGGCUCACUGGCUCGAUACUGCCGCUGAGGUGCGAAAGCGUGGGGAGCAAACAGGAUUAGAAACACUAGUAGUCC
rnacentral:rRNA from 1 species